GGAGUGCAGGUGGAGUAUCCCAGUGAUGAUCUGGGCCGUGUAGUAGACCACGCGCUCCAUGCAGAUACCCCGCCGUCCCAGCUCGUAGAUGUGGAACCUGAGGUCUCCUCCGUUCAUGAGGUCCAUGACCAGGCACAGGAACCUGUAAAAGAAGGGGCUGCUCAGGUAGUCGGAGAACGGUUUCCCCUUCAGGAAAUCCCUCGUGGCCUCUCUCAUCUGCUCCAUCAUCACGUCAUUAAAAUUCAUAUCUGGCGAAGUCCUGCGCCUGUCGGCAUCCUGUCCCGUAAGGUAGGAAAGGUAACUCUUGGACUGGGGCUGACAGAACUUGUCCAGGAUGCUCCGUUUGACCUUCUCCCUGGUUUCGUCCGCGGCAAAGCUCCAGCUGUUCAGCUCCUCCAGGAACUCCGCGGUGGCAGCACACUGCGGGUCUGAGGCCAGGAGGAACUGUUGGAACAGCUUCCUCCCAAUAGGCUGCUGCUCGCAGAGCGACUCGAACGUGUCGCCCAGCGCCUCCCGCACCGUGGAGGAGUUCUUGGGUACGGGCAGCGUCUGCGAGAGCCUCUGCUUCCUCAGCUCCUCGCGAUCAAUCCCCUGAACCUUCAGGAAGGCUGUGUUGACCACCAGGCUGUCCAGUGGCAGAAGGUCAGCCAUGUUGGAUGUCCCCUUUAGCACACCCACAGGCAGCUGAAACUGAAACACCUAACCCCAUCGUCAGGUUACAGGCACGGCUCAGUCCCGCGGACAUCGUCCACAUCUACUACGCCUCUCUGAGCAAUGAAAGCUCCGUCCUCAGGGAUUUGUCAGUGGCUAAGUGUCUUUGAAAACUCAUUAGUAGACAGCUCUGGGCGAAAGCAACUUAUGUGGUUUGUACUUAAGAGGCUUUAGGCUGGUGUAUUUAUAGGUGAUGCAAAAAGCCUGUGUGGUGACCAUGCUGCCAGUUUGACAGGGUGGCACAUACUGGCCUCAACAGCUUAUGACGGACGACUGCUUGAGAUAAAGUGGCCAGUGAGAGGUUAUGCUGAGCCCAAUGCAAUGGAAUAAACAUUUUAUGGUU